rnacentral:lncRNA from 1 species
GUUAAGUAGGGUCUGGCCUGGAAUACUCUUCUAGAUGAAAAUAGCCCAACCAUGAGCCACCUUCUCAGCAGAUGAGAUGAAAUUAAAGCUCUUCACCUCCUCAAGGCCCAGAGACUAUCACAAAAGAGGUCAGAAAUCCUGAAGAUCACUUUCUGACAAACUCAGGAGCUCCAGGUUUAUCUUGGAACCUCAAGAGGAGAGAAAUUCACCCAACUCAGAGUGAGGCUGGCUGGGGUAGCCUGGACUCCUCUGUCCUCCCCGAGGUGGCAGUGGCUGAUGUCUGCUCAGGUGUGAGGGGCACUGCCAUGCUCUGGGCCUGAGGCUUCCUGGCCCAGGCCCUCCUAACUCCCUGGACUCUUCCAUGGUGUCUUCAGGCCCCUACACUAACCUUUGUGUAAGGGGAGGAGGCAGCAUAGAGAUGAUGGGGGAACUGCCCCAUGUGCCAAGGAAAGCUCACCCAUCUGUG